CAGAGAAGUGACUGUAGAGCAAUGAUGUGCUCUGAGAGAAUGAAGUCAGGCUAGGGAAAUACUCCUAAACCGGGGAAAUCAGUCAAAUUAGAAAUGGGGUUUUGUAACAAAUGUAUAGCUGAGUGAGUGGAAUACACAAUGACCUUACCUGGUGGGGAUCUUCUCAAACAUUCCCACCAUAACCUCAUGCAGGUCAACAGAGCAGGAAAUUGGGGGGUUUGGGGGGAGGUGGCGCACACGUGAAGGCAAAGACAGGAAGAAGGGAACAGGAAGGACAGGUGAAGAAAGAUGAGAUUUCCAUAAACAGGAAAUAACCGUAUGGUCACUUUACCUCUUAAAUCUUAUGCGGAGACAAGCAGAAAACCCCACUCCCAACCAAGAGAGGGGACCUACCUUCCCUCAUCCGGCUUAAUCCUGAUAAAUACCCAACUCAGGGGCUGCAGAAUGCAUCUAAAUAAAGGGAAACUAAUUUAUGAAUCAGGCUGCCACGUGGGAUCAAGGAAGGUACUUGGUGUUCAGGAAGAAACAGCACCGAAGCAGUAAUGCAGGGCCCAGAAAGAAAAGUCACCCGACCCCAGGAAAGUCACUGAACUUUGCCGAAGCACCACCAAGACUUUUCUCACCUACCUCCUCAAUGUGGUGAAGAGUAGAGGAGGUACCGGGGCAUCUGGGUGGCUCAGUCUAAGCGUCUGACUUCUGGUCAGGUCAUGAUCUCACCGUUGGUGGGUUGGAGCCUCGUGUAGGACCUCAGGUGGCAGGAUGGUCUUCUGAACGAAGGGGGACGUUGGGAGUCGGCUGAAUUCCCAUGAACGAAAGCAAGAAAACACUCAGGAGCAUAGAGGCUGGAGAAAAGCUAAAAGAAGAGGAGGAAUCGAUUGAUAAUACUGGUGAGAAAUAAGUAGGAUGCUCUCUAGUCCCUCCACGGAGUAAAAGCGAUCAUCCGCGCCACCAGACCUGUAACACAGAGGGAAUCCAAAUACACUCACUUAAAUACCAUCACCAGGUCCACCACCAACCCACAUGGAGCUUUUAGACAAGUUAGAGAAGGAUACCCCCUUCAAGGCACUUUACCUGCACCUUCUAAAAGUCACCGUAAUGUACUUUUUUUUUAAGAACAAGAAACUUAACUCCCAUGUGCUUUAAAAGCAUCAUGUAAAUUUGUACAAAUCCACAACGUCUAGGAUGUGAAUGAGGCUCCACAGAAGGUCCUUUGUCCAGUCUACAACUCAAGCUCAAGGAUACCCGGCUCCCCUGGGAACCGCUUGUUUAAUGCCCGUCACACCAACCAUGAGGAGUUGUGUCUGGUUUAUGCAUGGCUUCAGCUCAGUUCCCGGAACAGAGUAUGUUCUCAACAGAUAUCAGUUGAAUGACCGAAUGAUUGAAUGAAUAAAUGAACAAGUGGCCCUCCUUUAACGCAAGCAUUUACUGCGAAAGUGAAAAAUAAGUUUGGCUAAUGUUGACCGAGCAGCUUCUCUGCAUCAGGCCCUAAGCACAUAUGUGCCUUCUCAUGAAAACGCUGUGAAGUCAUUACUAUUACUCUUCAUACUCCCAGAGGCUCAAAGAGGUUAAGUAACUUUCCAAAGCCCUUCUGCUAGUGAGUCACAAACCACAUGACCACCAUAAUCACAUUCCUAACCACUACAAUAGCAAGUCUCUCUGUAGUCUGCAUUGUUCUGGGAGGCUGCUACAUCUAUUGAAAACACAAGAGUUGCCUUGCAUGGCCAGCUCAAGAGAAAGAAGGCACCAGAGCUUCCAUGGUCUGGUUUCCCUGUCUGCUACAGAGACAAAGUUAUCCUCUUUGAUGCAACUCAGGCCAGUAAUGAAGUCACGCGAUAUUCUUGGUCCUGGCAGGCAUGGUAGACUCAUCUUAGAAGUCAGUUAGCGGGAAUUCAUUGACCCACAGAACAACAGGCCCUUUUUAUCCCCUGUGGGUGCAACACCUAGGCAACAGCACAUUCUGAAACAUCCUGGCCACUAGAUGGCACCGGAGCUCAAAUGUCACAAGUCUAUUUGGAACAUUUCUUCCGCCAUGUUUUAAUUUAGAUCAUAACAACAACCACAAUAGUGGCAUUGUCCAGAACAUUGUUGUGCCGGGUACUCUCCCAGGAUCUCUGCAAACAUCAUCUCAUCUAACCCUCACAACAACUCUGUGGAGCAGAUGCCAUACUGUCUCCAUUUUACAGAUGAAGAAGCUGAGCCUUAGAGAGGUGAGAAUCUUGGCCCAGGAAACACCGCUUGGGAAGAGGCAGAGCAGAGAUUCGAACCUAGGCAAGCUGGCUCUCCACUGUUGUGUUUCCUCCUAUGCUAUCUUCACCCUUGCACUUAGCUGCUGAGCACAGGUUCCUUGUGCAAAAUCCUCUCUCAAGGGGAAGAAGGAAAAAUCCCAUUCAGGCCAAUAAGCAUGUCAGGCACAAGCCAAGAUUCAGGUUUACUGGAGCUACUUACUCAGAGGUACAACCUCAAGAAAACAUUAUCAUGGUAGUGAAAAAAUAGGUCACAGCGUUGGUUCAGGGAAGCAAAGUCAGCUGGCUCUGGCUGCAACGUCUCACAUGCUAGAGAGAGGCCCCAGCAGAUGACCCUGGGGCAGGGGGUAUGGGCGCUCCUCCAUACCCAUCACAGGAUCUAGAGAAGGCCCUCAAAUUCUUGAGCUUCUGGUAUUGUAUCUGUUAAAAAGGGUAAAUAAUUCAUGCACUGUCUUUUUUACAGGGUAAAAAUAAAACAUGUUU